CGGCGCGCCCGGCGCCUGAGCCCGAGCCCCGGCCGGCAGCCGCUCCCCUUCCCGCUGGGCCGGUUCAGGAGCGGCCCCGAUAGUCCCAACCCCGCACCCAGUGUCCUACCUGCCCACUUCUCUCAGGAAAGGUCUCUCGUCAGUGUCAGUGCCACCUGGGCACUGUCACCUGCAGGAAAUCUAGGAGUGUGCCUAGUUCUGGAGGGGCAGGAAGGAAGCAGUAAGAUUGAGGAAAAAGCGCCUGUUUGGAGCGCACUAAUUCAAGUUUUUCAAACUUCACAUCACUCGUGCCUUGGGCACAGUGGCGCUCCUGGCUUUUUACAGCCGGUGUCUGUGGGUGGGUUGUUACUGGGCUCGGACGCCAGAUCUGAGGUUGCAGGGAAGUGCCCUGCGGGCAAGAAAAGGCCAUUCUCCGUGCCGUGCAGCAAGGAGCGAGACCUGGUCGGGUGGAAGAAAGCACGGAGCGGUGACAGUUCCUGAUGUCCAGACCUCGGCAUCCUCACCUGCGGUGCCAGGUGGGGUCUCUACCCCGCUGUCCGCAAACGUCCUUCCCUCCGCUUUCCUAGUCUCACUCCAUUUCCUAGCCACUUGUCCACCAAGAAGAACUUUCCCUGGGUCGGGAAUAUUUCGAAGCGAUUUCGUCCCGGUCACAUGAGAUGUGCAUAUUGCAUGCACAUUUCCAGUCUUUCCUCUCAGGAGCCAGCCCAUGUCUCCUCGUUUCCCUUCAGAAAUCCACCCUCUCUUUUGCUCAAAAUUAAACCAGCAAAUCGCACCCCUUCCCCCAACCCCGCCAUGGUUCCGUUUUCUGAGAAACAACACUUGGGUAUCCCUCAAAGUUUACUAAGCCUGGUGCCUCGGGUCUCCUCGGUUACAAUCUUAAAUUCUAGAAAAUGAGUAAGAAAACUUGCCACCAGUGAAUUAAUGCGAGCGACGGCUGGGCUUUGAUACUGCCACAUGGUUGAGGGGCGACACUGUCUGCUGGGGGCCAAGUCGUUUACACAAGGCAAGCACACCGGCUGCCAGUAAUGAGGUGCAGGAACAGUUCAGCCCUGCCUGGGACAUGUCACAUCAGGAGAAUAUCGGCGCUCACCUAUCCUGCCUGGGACCCCAAAUGUGCCACCAGCAUUGUCACCCUAUUAUUUUCAUUGUCUCAGGUGUCCAGAGGACGGGGAGCAGGUCUUUGAAGUUGUUAAUGGGAUUAAUGGGGACAGCAAAGUGGGCCAGUCAUCUGGUUUGAAUUAGGAAAAAAAAAGUAUUGAUUAAUCUUUGAGAAGUGUCACCAAGGCAGAACCUUUUCCCUAACCCAGUCCCUCAGGUUCCAAUUUGACCAUCUCCCUUUUCUCUUAAGUGGUCUUGUAGAAUAGUGGCUUCGCAAUAAACCUCUACCUCCGUGUGAAAGUUCGAACUGUUUUCCAUUGCUCAGAGGUGGGAUGGGGUGGGGGUGAUCAGGAAUUCUGAGAUUUGUAAGUGCUGCUUUCUUUAACGGAAAUUGAGCCCUAUUUUAAGGGAAAUUAGUUUUGCAGACUUCGUUUAAAAAAAAAAAGGCUAAAACUUUUGUUCACCAGCUGCUCAACUUUUCAGUCUGGGUCUGAGCUGGAACCUGCUGCAAGCGUUUGACGGUAACCAGCAACUAGCAAACACACAGAAGUUCUCAUCUCCAGGAGCUGCCACUUCUCCUUGAACCUGCCUGCAUCAUUGCCAAUCCAGUUUCUCAAGUCAGAAACAGGAACUCACCCUCCACAAGCCCCUCCAUUCUCACCGUCCAUAUGCAAUCAAUCUUCAGGUACUAAAUUACAUAUAGAUCUGUCAAAAUGAUGUAAGACCUGAAAUCUCUCUGUAAGUUGAUCCUCUUGACCCUGUGAUUAGGAGCUUCACAAUGUGGUACCACACCUGGAAAUCUCCAGAACAAGAUCUCAAGGAAACACAGGAAAUUCCUGGAGUGGCAAAACAUCCUAUUUGAAGACAUUCAAUUACUCCUCUGUGCAUCGGGAGCAUCGUCGUUAAUUAACUAUUGAUAUGCUUGAAAGAGUUUGUUUAGCAACGAAACUUGCAAAGAGGAGGGCCAGGCAGAUGCUGACCUUGUGAAUUAGUCAUCUCUGCACGUUCCUCCAAAACAAAACUCCACAGCAGUGGAAGACAGAAGUGGAGGGUCACACACCUGGUCUUAUAUACUUUAAUGCGGAGGUGAUACAUGUCAUUUUUACUCACAGCUUGAAAGCAAGAACAAAGCCUGAUAUACCUGCUACGGGUCUGGAAAAUAUUCUGGAGCACAUGGCUAUUUGGUGAGCAGUAAAUGUUUCUGCCACACCAGGCUUUUGGCAGACUUCAAAUUUGUUCCUGAGGGGCCUAAUUCACAUCACUAACGGUAUAUUUCUUGAGUCUUCCUGGAAUCUUACAUUGAUGUUUUUCUAGUACAGUGUCUGGCACAGGGUAAAUACUCCGUAAAUAUACUCAGCAGAGCACUUGGAUCUGUAAGUUUCAUUUUAUCAUCGGACUUGAGUACCCAUUUAGCUGCUAUAUCAGAUCAGGAAAGUGUAACUGCAACUCUAACUGUAAAGAAAGUUUAAUUGAUAAACUGCUCAGCCCAGAUUCAAUUUUAUUUUAUUUUGUUUUUGAUUUUUGUAGUUUUCACUUUGUUUCUUUGCUCUAGAGCAGUUCAUUUCUAAUUGUCAUUAAAAUUAGAACAAAAGUUGUGUCCAUACACAAUGAGAGUCAUUCAGAUUCUUUGGGGGAAUCUCUCUUCAAGUGUCUGCAGCUGUGUUGGGGCACUUACCUCUAUGUGUAAAUUACAUUCAUUCCCUGUUAGAUAUUGUAUUUUAUUUUCAAUCAGUACUGUCCAUUCUGUAAUGGGUCAUUGCAUAGACAUGAAUAUGACAUUUUGGGCUGUAUCUUCUAUUUGUCACUUACUAGCACUUAGAUUGUGACAAGGUUAAUUAACUUUUAGUGUCUAAAUUUCCUAAUUUCUAAAUAAAGAUUUUUAUUUCUAUAGUUUCAUGUUAACAAAUGAAAUAAUAUACACUAGCAAGUCAAUUCAAGGCUAGUAAGUGUGUAUAUAUAAGUGAUAUAUAUUAUUAUCAUUAUUGUAAUUGUCAUUAUCAUCUAUCCUAAGGAUCUUAUUCUGUCUAAAAAGAAGUCCCUGUAAGAAAUUUUGAAAGUACUUACAAAUAUUCAUUCAUUCUACUUUUUCCCCAAUUAACAAGACAAGAUUCCAUAAAUGUUUGUUGAAUGAGUAAAUGAUGUACUAACGAUAAAUACAA